rnacentral:rRNA from 1 species
UUGAACGCUGGCGGCAUGCUUUACACAUGCAAGUCGAACGGUAACAGGCCGCAAGGUGCUGACGAGUGGCGAACGGGUGAGUAAUGCAUCGGAACGUGCCCAGUCGUGGGGGAUAACUACUCGAAAGAGUAGCUAAUACCGCAUACGAUCUAUGGAUGAAAGCGGGGGACCGUAAGGCCUCGCGCGAUUGGAGCGGCCGAUGUCAGAUUAGGUAGUUGGUGGGGUAAAGGCUCACCAAGCCAACGAUCUGUAGCUGGUCUGAGAGGACGACCAGCCACGCUGGGACUGAGACACGGCCCAGACUCCUACGGGAGGCAGCAGUGGGGAAUUUUGGACAAUGGGCGCAAGCCUGAUCCAGCAAUGCCGCGUGCAGGAAGAAGGCCUUCGGGUUGUAAACUGCUUUUGUACGGAACGAAACGGCUCUGGUUAAUACCCGGGGCUAAUGACGGUACCGUAAGAAUAAGCACCGGCUAACUACGUG